CUACGGGGGGCACCAGUGGGGAAUUUUGCGCAAUGGGGGAAACCCUGACGCAGCAAUACCGCGUGAGUGAAGAAGGCCUUUGGGUCGUAAAGCUCUUUUCUUGGGGAAGAUAGUGACGGUACCCAAGGAAUAAGCACCGGCUAACUCCGUGCCAGCAGCCGCGGUAAUACGGAGGGUGCAAGCGUUGUUCGGAUUUACUGGGCGUAAAGGGCACGUAGGCGGCACAGCAAGUUAAGGGUGAAAUCCCGGGGCUCAACUCCGGAACUGCUCUUAAAACUGCUGAGCUAGAGAUAGUCAGAGGCGGGUGGAAUUCCAGGUGUAGAGGUGAAAUUCAUAGAUAUCUGGAGGAACACCGGUGGCGAAGGCGGCCCGCUGGGGCUAUUCUGACGCUAAGGUGCGAAAGCGUGGGGAGCAAACGGGAUUAGAUACCCGUGUAGUC
rnacentral:rRNA from 1 species